CGUUGUUAUGACUACCUUGUAACCAAGCCUUUGUUUCAGGACGCAUGUUAGAACCAUGUUAUGCUUAGAUUCUGACUUCUGUGGCUGACUCCUGUUUAUUUGCCUGACAAAAUCCCUCAUUUUCUAUAUUGUAUUAUAUUAGCUGUACAUUGAAGUGGAAAGAUCCUAAGGCUGCUCUAGUACACCAAGAAGAAGGCCGUGCCUUAUGAAGAAUCAGAAACUGUCAUGGAACAUCGUUGCUGGUGAUCAGCAAGAUACCUGUAUUGGCUGGUUUUGUGUGUCAACUUGACACAAGCUGAAGUUAUCACAGAAAGGAGCUUCAGUUGAGGAAAUGCCUCCAUGAGACCCAGCUGUAAGGCAUUUUCUCAACAGUGAUCAAGAUGCCAACCACGUUUUAAACAAGACUUUCUGAUCCAGAAACACUAGCACAUGCCUGUUGUCUCGGAACUUGAGGAGACUACUUGAGCUCAGGAGCGUGAGCACAGCCUAGGAAGCACAGUGAAACUACGUUAAAAGAAGGAAACCUCCAAAAUGGCUCCUUCCGCCGUCAUGUCAUCUAUUAAUCCCUCUAGAACUAAUAAACCAUUUAAAUUUUAAAUAGCGUUUGUAUGUUACAAAAGGAUAUAUUUAAAACAACAGAAUCUUAGUAAGAGGGUAUUUCUGCCAGUCUCCUUGUUGCCAG
ensembl:lncRNA